ACUCCUACGGGAGGCAGCAGUGGGGAAUAUUGCACAAUGGGGGAAACCCUGAUGCAGCCAUGCCGCGUGUGUGAAGAAGGCCUUGGGUUGUAAAGCACUUUCAGUAGGGAGGAAGGUAGUGUAGUUAACACCUGCUAUUAUUUGUACGUUACCUACAGAAGAAGCACCGGCUAACUCCGUGCCAGCAGCCGCGGUAAGUACGGAGGGUGCGAGCGUUAAUCGGAAUUACGUGGGCGUAAAGCGCAUGCGAGGCGGCCUGUUAAGUCAGAUGUGAAACGCCCGGGGUCUUAACCGUCGGAAUUGCAUUUGAAACUGGCAGGCUAGAGUCUUGGUAGAGGGGUUAGAA
rnacentral:rRNA from 1 species